rnacentral:rRNA from 1 species
UACAGAGGGUGCGAGCGUUGUCCGGAAUCACUGGGCGUAAAGGGCGCGUAGGCGGCUUUUCAAGCGUGUGGUGAAAGCUCGGGGCUCAACCCCGAGUCGGCCAUGCGAACUGGGAGGCUUGAGCACGGUAGAGGCACAUGGAAUUCCGGGUGUAGCGGUGGAAUGCGUAGAGAUCCGGAGGAACACCGGUGGCGAAGGCGGUGUGCUGGGCCGUAGCUGACGCUGAUGAGCGACAGCGUGGGGAGCAAACAGG